rnacentral:rRNA from 1 species
GACGAACGCUGGCGGCGUGCUUAACACAUGCAAGUCGAACGGAAAGGCCCUGCUUUUGUGGGGUGCUCGAGUGGCGAACGGGUGAGUAACACGUGAGUAACCUGCCCUUGACUUUGGGAUAACUUCAGGAAACUGGGGCUAAUACCGGAUAGGAGCUCCUGCUGCAUGGUGGGGGUUGGAAAGUUUCGGCGGUUGGGGAUGGACUCGCGGCUUAUCAGCUUGUUGGUGGGGUAGUGGCUUACCAAGGCUUUGACGGGUAGCCGGCCUGAGAGGGUGACCGGCCACAUUGGGACUGAGAUACGACCCAGACUCCUACAGGAGGCAGCAGUGUUGAAUAUUUCACAAUGGGCGGAAGCCUGAUGCAGCAACGCCGCGUGCGGGAUGACGGCCUUCGGGUUGUAAACCGCUUUCGCCUGUGACGAAGCGUGAGUGACGGUAAUGGGUAAAGAAGCACCGGCUAACUACGUG